rnacentral:rRNA from 1 species
UUAAGCAUAUCAAUAAGCGGAGGAAAAGAAACUAACAAGGAUUCCCCUAGUAACGGCGAGUGAAGCGGGAAGAGCUCAAAUUUGUAAUCUGGCACUUUCAGUGUCCGAGUUGUAAUCUCGAGAAGUAUUUUCCGCGCCGGACCGCAUACAAGUCUGUUGGAAUACAGCGUCAUAGUGGUGAGAACCCCGUAACUGAUGCGGAUGCCCGGUGCUUUGUGAUAUACUUUCGAAGAGUCGAGUUGUUUGGGAAUGCAGCUCAAAUUGGGUGGUAAAUUCCAUCUAAAGCUAAAUAUUGGAGCAAGACCGAUAGCGAACAAGUACCGUGAGGGAAAGAUGAAAAGCACUUUGGAAAGAGAGUUAACAGUACGUGAAAUUGUUGGAAGGGAAACGCUUGAAGUCAGACUUGCUAUUCGGAGUUCAGCCGCAAGGUGUAUUCUUCGAUUUGCAGGCCAGCAUCAGUUUUUGGGGGUGGAAAAUCGUGGUUUGAAGGUAGCAGUUUCGGCUGUGUUAUAGCUUUCCACUGGAUUCAUCUUCGGGGACUGAGGAACGCAGUACGCUUUUUGCAAGGCUCUCGAGCUUUUCGUACUUAGGAUGCUGGUGGAAUGG